UACGGGGGGAGCAAGCGUUGUUCGGAUUUACUGGGCGUAAAGGGCGCGUAGGCGGUCAGCACAAGUCAGUUGUGAAAUCUCCGGGCUUAACUCGGAAAGGUCAACUGAUACUGUGCGACUAGAGUGCAGAAGGGGCAACUGGAAUUCUCGGUGUAGCGGUGAAAUGCGUAGAUAUCGAGAGGAACACCUGCGGCGAAGGCGGGUUGCUGGGCUGACACUGACGCUGAUGCGCGAAAGCAUGGGUAGCGAACGGG
rnacentral:rRNA from 1 species